UACGUAGGGGGCUAGCGUUGUCCGGAUUUAUUGGGCGUAAAGAGCGUGUAGGCGGCCAGACAGGUCCGUUGUGAAAACUGGAGGCUCAACCUCCAGACGUCGAUGGAAACCGUCUGGCUAGAGUCCGGAAGAGGAGAGUGGAAUUCCUGGUGUAGCGGUGAAAUGCGCAGAUAUCAGGAAGAACACCCGUGGCGAAAGCGGCUCUCUGGGACGGUACUGACGCUGAGACGCGAAAGCGUGGGGAGCGAACAGG
rnacentral:rRNA from 1 species